CCGAUAGUGGGGCAGCCUACACAUGCAGUCGAGCGGUAGCACAGAGAGCUUGCUCUCGGGUGACGAGCGGCGGACGGGUGAGUAAUGUCUGGGAAACUGCCUGAUGGAGGGGGAUAACUACUGGAAACGGUAGCUAAUACCGCAUAAUGUCGCAAGACCAAAGUGGGGGACCUUCGGGCCUCAUGCCAUCAGAUGUGCCCAGAUGGGAUUAUCUAGUAUGUGGGGUAACGGCUCACCUAAGCGACGAUCCCUAGCUGGUCUGAGAGGAUGACCAGCCACACUGGAACUGAGACACGGUCCAUACUCCUACGGUAGGCAGCAGUGGGGAAUAUUGCACAAUGGGCGCAAUCCUGAUGCAGCCAUGCCGCGUGUGUGAAGAAGGCCUUCGGGUUGUAAAGCACUUUCAGCGGGGAGGAAGGCGUUAAGGUUUUUAACCUUCCGAUUGACUUUUCCCGCAAAAAAACCCCCGCUACCUCCCUGCCUCCCCCCCGUUAUAAGGUU
rnacentral:rRNA from 1 species